UACGGAGGGUGCAAGCGUUGUCCGGAUUUAUUGGGUUUAAAGGGUGCGUAGGCGGCCGAUUAAGUCUGGGGUGAAAGCCCGUUGCUCAACAACGGAACUGCCCUGGAAACUGGUCGGCUUGAGUACAGACGAGGGUGGCGGAAUGGAUGCUGUAGCGGUGAAAUGCAUAGAUAGCAUCCAGAACCCCCGAUUGCGAAGCAGCUGCCUAGAC
rnacentral:rRNA from 1 species